rnacentral:rRNA from 1 species
UUUGAUCCUGGCUCAGAUUGAACGCUGGCGGCAGGCCUAACACAUGCAAGUCGAACGGUAGCACAGAGAGCUUGCUCUCGGGUGACGAGUGGCGGACGGGUGAGUAAUGUCUGGGAAACUGCCUGAUGGAGGGGGAUAACUACUGGAAACGGUAGCUAAUACCGCAUAACGUCGCAAGACCAAAGAGGGGGACCUUCGGGCCUCUUGCCAUCAGAUGUGCCCAGAUGGGAUUAGCUAGUAGGUGGGGUAACGGCUCACCUAGGCGACGAUCCCUAGCUGGUCUGAGAGGAUGACCAGCCACACUGGAACUGAGACACGGUCCAGACUCCUACGGGAGGCAGCAGUGGGGAAUAUUGCACAAUGGGCGCAAGCCUGAUGCAGCCAUGCCGCGUGUAUGAAGAAGGCCUUCGGGUUGUAAAGUACUUUCAGCGGGGAGGAAGGUGUUGUGGUUAAUAACCACAGCAAUUGACGUUACCCGCAGAAGAAGCACCGGCUAACUCCGUGCCAGCAGCCGCGGUAAUACGGAGGGUGCAAGCGUUAAUCGGAAUUACUGGGCGUAAAGCGCACGCAGGCGGUCUGUCAAGUCGGAUGUGAAAUCCCCGGGCUCAACCUGGGAACUGCAUUCGAAACUGGCAGGCUAGAGUCUUGUAGAGGGGGGUAGAAUUCCAGGUGUAGCGGUGAAAUGCGUAGAGAUCUGGAGGAAUACCGGUGGCGAAGGCGGCCCCCUGGACAAAGACUGACGCUCAGGUGCGAAAGCGUGGGGAGCAAACAGGAU